rnacentral:rRNA from 1 species
AUACGAAGGUCCCAAGCGUUAUUCGGAAUCACUGGGCGUAAAGAGUAUGUAGGCGGUUUGGUAAGUCAGGUGAGAAAUCCCGAAGCUCAACUUCGGAACUGCAUCCGAUACUGCUAGACUUGAGUAAUGGAGAGGCAGGUGGAAUUCUCGGUGUAGCAGUGAAAUGCGUGGAUAUCGAGAGGAAGACCAAUGGCGAAGGCAGCCUGCUGGACAUUUACUGACGCUGAGAUACGAAGGCUAGGGUAGCGAAAGGGAUUAGAAACCCCAGUAGUCC